AGCGGCGGACGGGUGAGUAACGCGUGGGUAACCUGCCCUGUACACACGGAUAACAUACCGAAAGGUAUGCUAAUACGAGAUAAUAUGCUUCUAUCGCAUGGUAGAAGUAUCAAAGCUCUGGCGGUACAGGAUGGACCCGCGUCUGAUUAACUAGUUGGUAAGGUAACGGCUUACCAAGGCGACGAUCAGUAGCCGACCUGAGAGGGUGAUCGGCCACAUUGGAACUGAGACACGGUCCAAACUCCUACGGGAGGCAGCAGUGGGGAAUAUUGCACAAUGGGCGAAAGCCUGAUGCAGCAACGCCGCGUGAGCGAUGAAGGCCUUCGGGUCGUAAAGCUCUGUCCUCAAGGAAGAUAAUGACGGUACUUGAGGAGGAAGCCCCGGCUAACUACGUGCCAGCAGCCGCGGUAAUACGUAGGGGGCUAGCGUUAUCCGGAAUUACUGGGCGUAAAGGGUGCGUAGGUGGUUUCUUAAGUCAGAGGUGAAAGGCUACGGCUCAACCGUAGUAAGCCUUUGAAACUGGGAAACUUGAGUGCAGGAGAGGAGAGUGGAAUUCCUAGUGUAGCGGUGAAAUGCGUAGAUAUUAGGAGGAACACCAGUUGCGAAGGCGGCUCUCUGGACUGUAACUGACACUGAGGCACGAAAGCGUGGGGAGCAAACAGGAUUAGAUACCCUGGUAGUCCACGCCGUAAACGAUGAGUACUAGCUGU
rnacentral:rRNA from 1 species